AACGAACGCUGGCGGCAUGCCUAACACAUGCAAGUCGAACGAGACCUUCGGGUCUAGUGGCGCACGGGUGCGUAACGCGUGGGAACCUGCCCUUAGGUUCGGAAUACCUCCCCGAAAGGGGUGCUAAUACCGGAUAAUGUCUUCGGACCAAAGAUUUAUCGCGUUUGGAUGGGCCCGCGUUGGAUUAGCUGGUUGGUAGGGUAAAAGCCUACCAAGGCGACGAUCCAUAGCUGGUCAGUGAGGAUGAUCAGCCACACUUGGACUGAGACACGGCCCAGACUCCUACGGGAGGCAGCAGUGGGGAAUAUUGGACAAUGGGCGAAAGCCUGAUCCAGCAAUGCCGGGUGAGUGAUGAAGGUCGUAGGGUUGUAAAGCUCUUUUAACCGGGAUGAUAAUGACAGUACCGGGAGAAUAAGCUCCGGCUAACUCCGUG
rnacentral:rRNA from 1 species